GUUCAGUCUUCGACAUAUGCUGUUUCUCACAGGUGAGCGAAGAGCUCAGGACACACCCCCUCGCUCACUGGGCGAGAUCCCUCCAUCAGAGUGAGGAUCAGAAGGAGCUGAGCUCAGCUGGAAGCUUCACCUGCAAACAUGGACACAAGUCUUCAGAGCAGAGGAGAGACGCUCACAGGUGUGGACGGAGAGGAGGAAGCUCCUCCUUCUAAAGCCCCUCUGGGUGAGGACCAUGGCAGCCAGACCAGAGCUCAGAGAACAAAGCCACUCACAUCAGAAGCUGCUGGACGAGGACACGGACCUGGACCUGCUCCCAGCUGUGUGUCUCUGAAGAGUGAUGCGUCGAAGGGUCUUGGUAUUGAUUUCAAAGGUGGACAAGAGCCUUCAGGAGUGAGAGAGGAUCAGCAGGUCUCAGAUGUUCUCAGUCCCCAGUGUGUCCAGCAGCAUCAGACAGAUCUGGACUCCACACUUCAGCUGCUUGAGGAGACUGUCAUGACCCUGGUGAAGAAGGAAGUGAGGAGAGUCCAAAGGAUCCUCAGUCCAGAUGAUCCCAAAUACCAGGAUGAUGAGGAAGAGGUGAAGGUGAAGUGUGAUGAGGAGCAGAUGAGGAGCAGCAGAGAAGCUUUCCUGGACUUCAUCAUGAACCUCCUGAGGAGCAUGGAGGAGGAGGAGCUUGCUUGUCGUGUGUGGAGCAGAAGUCGUGCUGGAGCGUGUGGAGGACGACUGAAGAGGAGCCUGCAGAAGAAGUUCCACAGUGUGUUUGAGGGCGUGGCUAAAGCGGGAAACUCCGCCCCUCUUAAUCAGAUCUACACAGAGCUCUACAUCACUGAGGGGGGCACAGACCAGGUCAACCAGGAGCACGAGGUCCGACAGAUCGAAGCAGCAACCAGGAACCAGACCAGAGCAGAAACUACCAUCAGACAAGAAGACCUCUUUAAAGCCUCUCCUGAGAGAGAGGGACCAAUCAGGAGCCUGCUGACGAAGGGCGUGGCUGGCAUUGGGAAGACCCUCCUGACACAGAAGCUGACUCUGGACUGGGCUGAAGACAAAGCCCACCAGAACUUCCAGCUCAUGUUUCCUUUCACCUUCAGAGAGCUGAACCUGCUGAAAGAGAAGAAGUUGAGUUUGGUGGAACUUGUUCAUCGCUUCUUUCCUGAAACCAAAGAAUCAGGACUCGGCAGCUUUGAAGGAGUCCAGGUUCUGUUCAUCUUGGACGGUCUGGACGAGUGUCGACUCCCUCUGGAGUUCAACAGUCGGGUCGUGACAGAAGCUACAGAGUCCACCUCAGUACACGUCCUGCUGACCAACCUCAUCAGGGGGAAGCUGCUUCCCUCAGCUCACCUCUGGAUAACCACACGACCUGCAGCAGCCAAUCAGAUCCCUCCUGAGUGUGUGGACAUGGUGACAGAGGUCAGAGGGUUCACUGACCUCCAGAAGGAGGAGUACUUCAGGAAGAGGUUCAGAGAUGAGGAGCAUACCACCAUCAUCUCUCACAUCAGGAGCUCACGAAGCCUCUACAUCAUGUGUCACAUCCCCAUCUUCUGCUGGAUCACUGCCACAGUUCUGGAGGACAUGUUGAAGAGCAGAGAGACCAGAGAGCUGCCCAAGACCCUGACUGAGAUGUACAUCCACUUCCUGGUGGUUCAGGCCAAAGUCAAGAAGAUCAAGUACCAUGGAGGAGCUGGGACUGACACAGUUUGGGAUCCUGAGAGCAGGAAGAUGAUUGAGUGUCUGGGAAAACUGGCUUUUGAGCAGCUGCAGAGAGGGAACUUGAUCUUCUAUGAAUCAGACCUCACAGAGUGUGGCAUCGACAUCACAGCUGCUGCAGUUUACUCAGGAGUCUUCACACAGAUCUUCAGAGAGGAGAGAGGACUGUACCAGGACAAGGUCUUCUGCUUCAUCCACCUGAGUCUUCAGGAGUUUCUGGCUGCUCUUCAUGUCCAUCUGAAGUUCUUCAACUCUGGAGUCGACCUGCUUGAGUCACAACAAAUGUCUCUACUGACAAGACUCUUUAGAAACAAAUGUGUUCCAGGACAUUUCUACCAGAGAGCAAUAAAUGAAGCUGUAGAAAGUCCAAAUGGACAUCUGGACUUGUGCCUGCGCUUCCUCCUGGGUCUUUCUCUGCAGAGCAGCCAGAAUCUCCUUCCAGGUUUGUUGCCAGAGGCAGGAAGUAGCUCCUGGACCCAUCAGGACACAGCAGAGCUCAUCAAGAAGAAGAUCAGUGAGAAAGUGUCUCCAGAGAGAAUCAUCAAUCUGUUCCACUGUCUGAGUGAAGUGAAGGACACUUCUCUAGUGGAGCAGGUCCAACAGCAGCUGAGAUCAGGGCAUCUCUCCACAGAUCAACUGUCUGCUGCUCAGUGGUCCACCCUGGCCUUCAUCUUACUGUCCUCAGAGGAAGAUCGGGAGGUGUUUGACCUGAAGAAAUACUCUGCUUCAGAGGAGGCUCUUGAGAGGCUGCUGCCUGUGGUCCAAGCAUCAAAGGAAGUUCUACUGAGAGAAUGUCAGCUGUCAGAGAGAAGUGGUUCCCUUCUGUCCUCAGUCCUCAGCUCUCCGUCCUCUCGUCUGACACAACUGAACCUGAGCUACAACAAGCUGAAGGACCCAGGAGUGGAGCUGCUGUCUGCUGGACUGAAGUGUCCACACUGUCACCUAGAGACUCUCAGCCUGAGCAGCUGUGGACUGUCAGAGAGAAGUGGUUCCCUUCUGUCCUCAGUCCUCAGCUCUCCGUCCUCUCGUCUGACACAACUGGACCUGAGCUACAACAUCCUGAAGGAUCCAGGAGUGAAGCUGCUGUCUGCUGGACUGAAGAGUCCACACUGUCACCUGGAGACUCUCAGCCUGAGCAGGUGUGGACUGUCAGAGAGAAGUGGUUCCCUUCUGUCCUCAGUCCUCAGCUCUCCGUCCUCUCGUCUGACACAACUGGACCUGAGCUACAACAUCCUGAAGGAUCCAGGAGUGGAGCUGCUGUCUGCUGGACUGAAGAGUCCACACUGUCACCUGGAGACUCUCAGUGUGUCAGGGUGUGGGAUCUCAGAGAGAGGCUGUGCUUCUCUGGCCUCAGCUCUGACCUGUAACCCCUCCCAUCUGAGAGAGCUGGACCUGAGCUUCAAUCAUCCAGGAGGACCAGGACUGGAGCUGCUGUCUGCUGGAGUGGAGAGUCCCGACUGGAGGCUGGAGACUCUCAGGCUGGAUUACUGUGGACCACAGAGGUUAACAUCUGGACUGAAGAGAUACUUCCGACCACUCUCACUGGACCCAGACACAGCUCACCGGCGCCUCCUACUGUCCAACAACAACCACAUGGUGGAGCUAGUGACGGAGGAUCAGGAGUAUCUGGACCAUCUGGACCAUCCCGACAGGUUUGAGUGGUGUCCUCAGGUGAUGAGCAGAGACGCUGUGACUGGUGUCUGUUACUGGGAGGUGGAGUGGAGAGGAAGAGUUUCUGUGGCCGUGACUCUCAGGAGAGACGGAGGGAAAGAAGACGAGUCUGAGUUUGGACAGAACCGUUAUUCCUGGAGUCUGAGCUGCUCUGAUGAUGCUGGAUAUAAAGUCUGUCACAAUAAGACAGAAACUGUCAUCGAGAGCUCAGAAGUCUCUCACAGAGUUGGAGUGUUGCUGAACGCACCUGCUGGAGUUUUGAUCUUCUACAGAUUCUCCUCUGGAGUCUGGACCCUCCUCUACACCCUAUUCACCUCCACUGAACCUCUGCACCUGGGAUUUGGACUCAGAGAGGCUCGUGGUUCUGGUUCCUCAGUGUGUGUGUGUGACCUGAGUGUGUGAGUGUGUUCCUCCAACAAACUGGUGUUGCUGGUUCAAAUCCCCAUCCAAACUGCUGACAGUGAGGAAUGAAUCUGCUUCUGAAACAAAUGAGUUCUUCUGCAGAAAAGAACAAAAGAAUGUGAGAUGUUUGAAGAAGAGAAACUUUCUCUUUCAUCCCUCUCCUCCUUUCUCCUGUAAACGUCUUCACAUCCUGCUCAGUGGUCUCUUCCAGCUCCAUCUAUCAUCACUGUGUUCAGUCCCUGAAAGACUCCUCCAAGUCUCCAUCCUCAUGUGAAGAAGACUUCAACACAUUCUCAAACCAGUCUGUCCUUCUUCUUCUUCCCUGUGGACAGAUCACAUGACAACAAUCUUCAUCCAUGAACUCUUGAACUGUCAGUCGACCUUCAGUGAAGAGUUCAGAUAGAAUAGGAUAGGAUAGAAUAGCCUUUAUUGUCCUUGUACAGUGUACUCCCUUGGUGCGAACAAUGUAAAAAUAUAUCAAAACAAUCAAGCAUUCAGAGAACAACAAAUAGGAACUAAUAAAUAAUAUAUACACAAGUAGCAGCAGUGAAAGAGCGUAAUUACAGAAAGUGGCACUUAUCUGGAUGUAAACUUGAAUGAUUUGUUAUUGCACAUCGUUAUUUCUUUAUUGCACUAUGAUCAAUAUGGUCAGUAAUAAUUAAUUUUGUAGACUGUUUUAUUGUCACAACUUCUUCCGCUGACGUCACCGCCCAACCCACCUCGUCACAUCCACACCUGCCUCCAAUCUUCUGACGGUAUAAAGACCGGACCAACCUGCCAGUCCUCGCCUGUUUGUCAACCCUUCAUGAUUCUGCCUGCCUGCACCUCCUGCACCCCUACUCCACAGCCUGCACCUCCUGCACCCCUAUUCCACAGCCUGCACCUCCUGCACCAUCACCGCACUAGCCUGGAUGAAUUAAUUGCGCUGUCUAUCAGGGUUGACAACCGCCACCGUGAGCGGAAGAGACAAAGACAGCAGCAAACCACGCUGAACCCAGUCUCCGCCCAGCCUCGUCAAUCGCUCUCUCCGAUUGGUCACACCCCCAAGGAUGAAGGCACACCUGUUCUCCCGCCCAAUGACACUUCAGAGCCGAUGUAGUUGGGGCGUUAUCGCAUUGAUCCGUAGGAGCGGCGCCGUCGAAUUCAGUCCAACAGCUGUCUGUAUUGUGGGAGGAGCGGACACUUCUUAACCACGUGUCCUCACUGUCCGUGAAACGGGCAGGUUCGCUAGAAUCUGGGAGACUCCUAGCGAGCCGCACCUCCUUCCCACAAUCUCCCCGUCUGCGCACCAAGUUUGACGUCACCAUAAAUCACCAAGGUCAGUCACUUAAAUUGUCUGCACUCAUUGAUUCUGGUGCUGAUCAGAACUUUAUUGAUGUCAACACUGUGAAAACCUUUUAAUAUUUUGACCUUUCUGCUCCCUGAACCGCUUGAAGCGAAUGCUUUAGAUGGCCGUCUCUUGGCUUCAAUCACCCGUAUGACUGCUCCUGUGCGCCUCCUUCUGUCUGGUAACCAUCAGGAGGAGAUUAGUUUUUAUGUUCUGGACUCCCCGUUCGUGCCUGUAAUCCUUGGACGCCCAUUGCUUCUCAAACAUAACCCCCACAUUGACUGGAGAAUGGAGAAAAUCAUAAGUUGGAGUCUAAACUGUCAUAAAGUUUGUCUUCUCUCCGCUUUACCUCCCACUGUUGGUCCUCCUUGUACCAGUGACAGCACUGAUCUGUCUCUCAUUCCAGUAGAGUACCAAGCUUUGAGAGCUGCGUUCAACAAGGAGAAAGCCACGUCAUUACCACCUCAUCGACCUUAUGAUUGUGCUCCAGAGGCCAAAUUAUUGUCUGUGAGAAACACAUGAACUGAACAUGUGUCCAGCUCUAUGGCUGUUCUUCAUCUUUGUGAAAGAGUCUAAAUUAUUGUAGCAGCUGUGGUCCAUUCUCUUUCAUGCAUGUCGACUAUUUUAUGACCAAACAUGAUUCACAACAUCUUGUACUGGAAUGAUCUGUUGCACAUUUAUGCGCUUCUACUCAGUAAAUGUGCAACAUCUUAUUCCAGAGUAAACUAUGCCAUGUUUGACUCUCCCAUCUUCAUUCUUUCAGCAGUCUCCCUGCCUUUGGUCCGUUCCUUAUAUAGCACUUCAAUACAAAGCUGCACACCUGCCUGGUGUAAAACUAACAUGCUAUGGAAAACCUCAAGCAAAGAACACCUCAAAGAGCAGCUUCAGGCAUCAGAGCAACUUGAAAUGUCUCACCUCUUUAAUGUGUUUCUAAGCAAAUGGUGGUGGUCAAAGUAAUCGUCCAAAUGUUGCAUGUUUCUCCUUGGCCUUGACUGUAACCAGGAUUUAUGAUAAGUCGUAAUAUAAAGACAGUGGAUGGUAUUGUGUGAUGUUUUUCUCUAUAUAUUGAAGUGCUCCAGUGUGAUUUUGCAUUUUGUGUCUGCAGGUAUGUGCAUUUGUGGAUGUAGGAUGAGUAACUCACACACAUACCACAUAGCUGCACCACUGGAGGCUGUUCACACACCUGUCUUAGAGUUGAAGUGUACUAGCAGUUUGCUGGAGCAUCAGGAUCUUGUCUCACAAGAAGGCACUUGUCACCUGGAACCCACUGGUGAUGAGGACAGACAGAUUCAAAUAUCCAUCAUUGUCAACAGACCUGCAGAUCACUGUCAAAUGUUUUGUGGUACAUACAAACCUCCAAAGAUUGUCACAUUCAAUAUGAAAAUGGGGAACAAAGCAGACCUCAGUGUGUCAUUACAAUGUGUGAGCUUACAAACAAAUGUCUUUGAAUAUUGUGCGAUGCCAUAGGUUUAUAUGACAUGAAAAGUAGUGUUCACAACUUCAAAUUAACAUUUCAUUUUUGAACUAGAACUCAAGCUUACAUUUCAUGGGAUUUUGCAAUUGCUUUGCACUUAUUACGAUUGUCAUAUAUUGUCAUUAUAUCUGCAAAUUACUUUGCGACUGAAGAAAGUGAAACAUCCGAUUGGUGUCGAACUCUAGAGCCAAUCAGGUGGCACUCCUGUCCAUCCCAGCAUGCACUGAGAGCCAGGUGGAAGUCAGGCUGCUGCAGUGGUUCAGAAGCAACUGAGGGGCGCUUGGAUCCCGCCCCUUGUGCUCGGGGCUCAGCGCGAUUCUGGACACCCCAACGUCCCACAAUGCAUUGUUUAUUUUAUUUAUUUUAUUUUAUUUUAGUCUAGUUUAGUUUAGUUUAUUAUUUAUUUUUUCACAGCACUUUAUUCCAAAGCACUUUCCUAGUUGGUAAGGUCCCCACUGACCAUAAUAAGCAAUAAAUUUGAUUCUGAUUCUAAAGGUUUAUACAGUAUGAUACCUGGAAAUUGAUCUGUCACAAUGCUCAUGUGCUCCCUGAAAAAUUAAAAUUCUGUACAGAAAAUGCGCAAAGCGACUUGACGUAACAUACACCAUAUUUAUACUGCAUGUUACUGUGUGCAUGAGUCACACAGCCAUGGCUCCCCAGACCAGUGAGUCUCAGAUAAAACCACUGAAUAGUUCAGUUCUGGUUAUCGCAAGCAACCAUGUCUGCCACAGGUGUGGUGUCACCUUCCCAGUCACCCGUACAGUGCUGUCGACUGUGUACAGGCCCCAUAUCUAUGACAAGAAUGAGGACAAACAUAUGAACUGAGUCUCAGUCAGGAGUUUACACAGUUACACAAAGUUAUGUAUGUAAAUGCAGCAUUAGUGUCCGCAAAGAGACAAGUGAGUUUUGUUUUUUUAUUUUUUAAAAGGUUUGUUUAAGCUGUUUUAAAUGCU